GUAUACGGCCAUACCAGGAGGCACGCCCGAUCUCGUCUGAUCUCGGAAGCUAAGCAGGGUCGGGCCUGGUUAGGAAUUGGAUGGGUGACCGCCUGGGAAUACCAGGUGCUGUAAGCA
ensembl:rRNA 5S_rRNA 5S ribosomal RNA